CAGAGCUCCACAGUAAUAAUACUCCCAGUAAUGUGUCUGAGUGUAUAACUGAGCUCCACAGCAAUAAUACUCCCAGUAAUGUGUCUGAGUGUAUAACAGAGCUCCACAGCAAUAAUACUCCCAGUAAUGUGUCUGAGUGUAUAACAGAGCUCCACAGCAAUAAUACUCCCAGUAAUGUCUGAGUGUAUAACAGAGCUCCACAGCAAUAAUACUCCCAGUAAUGUGUCUGAGUGUA